rnacentral:rRNA from 1 species
AUGAACGCUGGCGGCGUGCCUAAUACAUGCAAGUCGAGCGAACAGACGAGGAGCUUGCUCCUCUGACGUUAGCGGCGGACGGGUGAGUAACACGUGGAUAACCUACCUAUAAGACUGGGAUAACUUCGGGAAACCGGAGCUAAUACCGGAUAAUAUAUUGAACCGCAUGGGUCAAUAGUGAAAGACGGUUUUGCUGUCACUUAUAGAUGGAUCCGCGCCGCAUUAGCUAGUUGGUAAGGUAACGGCUUACCAAGGCAACGAUGCGUAGCCGACCUGAGAGGGUGAUCGGCCACACUGGAACUGAGACACGGUCCAGACUCCUACGGGAGGCAGCAGUAGGGAAUCUUCCGCAAUGGGCGAAAGCCUGACGGAGCAACGCCGCGUGAGUGAUGAAGGUCUUCGGAUCGUAAAACUCUGUUAUUAGGGAAGAACAAAUGUGUAAGUAACUAUGCACGUCUUGACGGUACCUAAUCAGAAAGCCACGGCUAACUACGUG